rnacentral:rRNA from 1 species
UUGCAAUUGGAAUGAGUACAACUUAAAUCCCUUAACGAGGAUCAAUUGGAGGGCAAGUCUGGUGCCAGCAGCCGCGGUAAUUCCAGCUCCAAUAGCGUAUAUUAAAGUUGUUGCAGUUAAAAAGCUCGUAGUUGGAUUUCUGGGUCAAGCUCCUGGUCCGCCGCUAUGCGGUGCUGACUGCGUGCAGCGUUGGCUCAUCCUUGUGGGAAAGUCGGCUAGGCCUUCGUUGGUCGGCCGCCGGAACCGCAUCUUUUACUGUGAAAAAAUUAGAGUGUUCAAAGCAGGCUUACGCUGUGAAUACAUUAGCAUGGAAUAAUAAGAUAGGACUUUGGUUCUAUUUUGUUGGUUGGAGGCCAAGGUAAUGAUUAAUAGGGAUAGUUGGGGGUAUUCAUAUUUAAUUGUCAGAGGUGAAAUUCUUGGAUUUAUGAAAGAUGAACUUAUGCGAAAGCAUUUACCAAGGAUGUUUUCAUUAAUCAAGAACGAAAGUUAGGGGAUCGAAGAGGAUUAGAUACCCCCGUAGUCUUAACCAUAAACUAUGCCGACUCGGGAUUGGAGGGCGUAUAUCAAUGAGCCUUUCAGCACCGUAUGAGAAAUCAAAGU